rnacentral:rRNA from 1 species
UACGUAGGGUGCGAGCGUUGUCCGGAAUUAUUGGGCGUAAAGAGCUCGUAGGCGGUGUGUCGCGUCGGCCGUGAAAACCUGCAGCUUAACUGUGGGCUUGCGGUCGAUACGGGCAUCACUGGAGUUCGGCAGGGGAGACUGGAAUUCCUGGUGUAGCGGUGAAAUGCGCAGAUAUCUGGAGGAACACCGGUGGCGAAGGCGGCAUCCUGGACCAAUUCUGACGCUGAGGAGCGAAAGCCAGGGGAGCAAACGGG